ACAGAAAAUUCGGCACUCGGUGCAUGACGUCACUAUGGAAAACUCAUGCUGCAUCGAAAACCCGGGACAGACAGACCAGACGGACAUACUGCAAACAGCACGUGGGUGCGGUGGCACAAGUGCACGUGGGAAGUAUACUGAACGCAUGGGUGGUCGCUGUAAUCCGUUUAUUUUCGCCACUUCGUGGACCAUCAAGAAAUUAGUCUUUGAGGAAUCGCUGGCACACCUACGUCAUGUCAUUGAUGGAAUUUGGGAAGGCCUCAUUGCUAGGUGAAUGUACUGCCGUGGCUGCCUACAUGCAUGUUGAGGCUGGCUAGUGUCAUGGUAUGAGUUGAAAUGACCGAUGAAAUUGCCAAAGUGAAGAGGCAGGCUACAUCAUAAGUAGCACAGACCUCCUCAUGUGAAAGCUGUGGGUGUGCCCCAGGAGAAUCAGACCAUGAUGCUGAUGAGAAGAGUGCCCUCGCCUCCUUCAACCUGGAGAGAAGGACGAUGGAGGACAAGA